rnacentral:lncRNA from 1 species
CACACUCUACGCAGGGAAGCCGAUGAAUAUAAGUGAGUGUUCCGAAAAAAGAAAGAAAAAAAAAGAGAAAAAAAUAAAGGAAUGCACCUUCUAAGUUUGGUGACCCUCACCCGGUCACUUAAUCCAACGGUUGUAGAACCUUCAAAAAAAAAGUUUUUGACUCGUUGUUAGUUGGUUCAAGGAAUGCACCUUCUAAGUUUGGUGACCCUCACCCGGUCACUUAAUCCAACGGUUGUAGAACCUUCAAAAAAAAAGUUUUUGACUCGUUGUUAGUUGGUUCAGCGGUUUCUGGUGCUGAACUUGGUAUGGCAGAUUACGG